UGGCAGCGAAAAGAGAGAAUGAUUGUGAAAUCAGAAAAUGGUUUGUUAUUGUCUAAAAGAGUAAUCUAUGCGACAAAGUAUAAUUUUUUUUAGGCGAUCUUGUUUGCGUUCGUGGGUAGUUUUUUUGUAAUAUUGGCUCCAUUUGUACAGUACACCCUGAUUGACUGACAGUGGAUUUGCCCGUAUAGCCACCGUUAGCAUUUUGGCUAGCUAGCAAGCUAAGUUGUUUCUUGGAAAUCACUGCUCCACAGCAGCUUGCCAUUUUCGGAGGGUGAAAGUACUGCAAACCUACCCGUGGUGGUUGACUUUCAGUCUUGGGAGAGCAGUUGGGGCUAAGGAAGACUAAGCCAAUCGCUGCUGGUUGGUGACUUCCUUGAAAAGCCAGCGUUGGACUGGAGCAGCCAGCUAGGGCCAUGAGCCAGGGCUUCCUCCUCCCUCUGUGGACCAGAGCCAAAAUGGAGGUUUAGCCCAGACAGACGCUGAGCAAGUGUUCAGUGCUGCGGGUCCUCUGCCUAGGCAUGGAGUGGCGUUGGCUGCAGACUGGAUGACAGGGUCUUCAGGGAGAGCCGACGCGCGUCCCCCUGCACAGACACCCAACCCC